AUAUUUAAGUCAGUUGUGAAAGUUUGCGGCUCAACCGUAAAAUUGCAGUUGAUACUGGAUAUCUUGAGUGCAGUUGAGGCAGGCGGAAUUCGUGGUGUAGCGGUGAAAUGCUUAGAUAUCACGAAGAACUCCGAUUGCGAAGGCAGCCUGCUAAGCUGCAACUGACAUUGAGGCUCGAAAGUGUGGGUAUCAAACAGGAUUAGAUACCCUGGUAGUCCACACGGUAAACGAUGAAUACUCGCUGUUUGCGAUAUACUGCAAGCGGCCAAGCGAAAGCGUUAAGUAUUCCACCUGGGGAGUACGCCGGCAACGGUGAAACUCAAAGGAAUUGACGGGGGCCCGCACAAGCGGAGGAACAUGUGGUUUAAUUCGAUGAUACGCGAGGAACCUUACCCGGGCUUAAAUUGCAGAUGAAUUACGGUGAAAGCCGUAAGCCGCAAGGCAUCUGUGAAGGUGCUGCAUGGUUGUCGUCAGCUCGUGCCGUGAGGUGUCGGCUUAAGUGCCAUAACGAGCGCAACCCUUGUUGUCAGUUACUAACAGGUUUUGCUGAGGACUCUGACAAGACUGCCAUCGUAAGAUGUGAGGAAGGUGGGGAUGACGUCAAAUCAGCACGGCCCUUACGUCCGGGGCUACACACGUGUUACAAUGGGGGGUACAGAGGGCCGCUACCACGCGAGUGGAUGCCAAUCCCCAAAACCUCUCUCAGUUCGGACUGGAGUCUGCAACCCGACUCCACGAAGCUGGAUUCGCUAGUAAUCGCGCAUCAGCCACGGCGCGGUGAAUACGUUCCCGGGCCUUGUACACACCGCCCGUCAAGCCAUGGGAGCCGGGGGUACCUGAAGUGCGUAACCGCGAGGAGCGCCCUAGGGUAAAACUGG
rnacentral:rRNA from 1 species